UACGGGGGGGGCAAGCGUUGUUCGGAAUUACUGGGCGUAAAGGGCUCGUAGGCGGCCAACUAAGUCCGACGUGAAAUCCCCAGGCUUAGCCUGGGAACUGCGUCGGAUACUGGAUGGCUUGAAUUCGGGAGAGGGAUGCAGAAUUCCAGGUGUAGCGGUGAAAUGCGUAGAUAUCUGGAGGAAUACCGGUGGCGAAGGCGGAUCUCUGGGCCUGUUCUGACGCUGAGGCGCGAAAGCUAGGGGAGCGAACAGG
rnacentral:rRNA from 1 species